UCGCCCCUACGGGGCGCAGCAGUGGGGGAUAUUGCACAAUGGGGGGAACCCUGAUGCAGCGACGCCGCGUGGGCGAUGGAGUGCUUCGGCAUGUAAAGCCCUAUCAGCAGGGAAGAAAAUGACGGUACCUGACUAAGAAGCCCCGGCUAAAUACGUGCCAGCAGCCGCGGUAAUACGUAUGGGGCAAGCGUUAUCCGGAUUUACUGGGUGUAAAGGGAGCGUAGGCGGCAUGGCAAGCCUGAUGUGAAGUACCGGGGCCCAACCACGGCGCUGCAUUGGGAACUGCCAGGCUGGAGUGCCGGAGG
rnacentral:rRNA from 1 species